rnacentral:rRNA from 1 species
GAUGAACGCUGGCGGCGUGCCUAAUACAUGCAAGUCGAGCGAACAGACGAGGAGCUUGCUCCUCUGACGUUAGCGGCGGACGGGUGAGUAACACGUGGAUAACCUACCUAUAAGACUGAGAUAACUUCGGGAAACCGGAGCUAAUACCGGAUAAUAUAUUGAACCGCAUGGUUCAAUAGUGAAAGACGGUUUUGCUGUCACUUAUAGAUGGAUCCGCGCCGCAUUAGCUAGUUGGUAAGGUAACGGCUUACCAAGGCAACGAUGCGUAGCCGACCUGAGAGGGUGAUCGGCCACACUGGAACUGAGACACGGUCCAGACUCCUACGGGAGGCAGCAGUAGGGAAUCUUCCGCAAUGGGCGAAAGCCUGACGGAGCAACGCCGCGUGAGUGAUGAAGGUCUUCGGAUCGUAAAACUCUGUUAUUAGGGAAGAACAAAUGUGUAAGUAACUAUGCACGUCUUGACGAUACCUAAUCAGAAAGCCACGGCUAACUACGUG